ACUCAGUAAAUGUUAGUUAUUUGUGUGUAUUAUGUUUAUACAUGGGAAAAGUAAAAAACCUUAAAAAAUAAUUUUUAAAAACUUUGCUUAAAAUUCACUAUUUGCAUUAAAGAACACUUAGAAAACAACAAAAAGUCUCCAGAAAAAUCAGUGUCUCUGAAACAGGCUGGAACUAGAAUGGCCAUAAAGCAAACUGGGCUUUAGAUGUGUCAACAUUUGAAUGAAAAAUGCUGGAAGGGAAGCGGUAUCGAACAAGGAGCCACAACCAUGAGAAAUACAAAGCUAAUGAAAGAAAAUAUAGAUUAUUUUCUAUUGAUCCUGGGAAUUGAACUCAGGGCCUUAGGAACAGUAAAUGCAUGAUCUACAACUGAGCCGAGCCACACCCCAGGCUUAGAGGUUUUUGAAGAAAACAAACCCCACAAAACUGGCUAGGUCAGACCACAGGAUAACUGAUCAAACGACAAAGCAACAAGCAUAAGAAAAGCAAGCAAACCAGAAAAUAGGAGGGAAGAGUGUGUGGUUGCAUAAGCAGGGGGAUGUUAGGCCUGGGGAGGUUAUCAGAGGGGCCUGGGGCUCUGACAGCAAGGCUGAAGACUGAGUGGGAAACAGCCUGGGGCAGAAGUUGGCCCCAAGUUGCACAAAGGUCUUCCAGGAUCCAGGCUAUGGGCCAUCCCUGGGAGCUCCAAAAAGCAACGGUUUACAGCAACAGGUGUACAAGAGAAGCUGAGCGAGGGAACAGGACCAUGAGCCUGCCACUGAUUGGACCAGAGCUAGGAUCCUGGAUCUCCUCACGUAGACUUGAGUGGUUUGACCUUUCAACAGAACAGCCUGAUCUGUUUUGUACCAACGACAUAAUAGAGGCUGCACACACGAAAGAAAGGAAUUACCACCAUUGCCAAGGUUCUCAAUAGAGCCGAGAGCCCUCCCAUCCAGCAUGGUAGAGGUGGCCGCAAGAAGUUACAGAGAGGAGGACUGCAGGGGUCUCCCAAGCUCCUGAUGUGGGUCUGAGGAGAGGCUGACAGCUUAAGAGCAGCCUCCUCAGACAAGUCUCCCAGGACACUGGCCAAUACUUCUUUUCCUAUCCCAGUCAUCAACUUCCUAGGAACUCUCCCAAUCCCUGGCACCUAAGCCUGACUGGGCAAGUGAGCUGACUCCCAGACUGUCACCCCAUUCCAGGUACCCUUCAAAGUUUGAUUGCCCCCAUUCUAAGUUGCACACUCAAACAUCCAGAGACCAGGCAGACAAGAAAAAUGAGUAAGGCAGGCUGAACAUCAGGCACCGGAAGGGAGGUGGUGGCACAGGAGAAACUGCCCACCAAUCUGAAGGGGAUAACAUUUACUUAGCUCCCGCUGACCGUUGCCAUGGAAAAAAGAUCAUCACGCGCCAACACUGGGAACACAGAGAUAACUAAGCACCACGCCUUGUUUCAAGGAACUCCAGGCGGAUGAGUGCCUUGGUGCAAAUGCUGCCCCCAGCAACCAUGCUGCCACAGCCUGUUCACAUGAACUCUCAGCUAAUACUCACACCCUCGUCUGUAAGUCACUUCCUGUGAAAGCAUCUGCCAAUGUUGAACACUAUACUUGAGAACCUAGGAGAGUAGAGAAUGCCUCCCAUUCUGAGAGAGCCUGGAGCACUUCAGGAAGCAAGAGGAAAAUUGUGCUCAAUGCUAAUUCCCUUCCAGCGCAGGGAAGACAAAAGUGGUUCAUGUACGAUCUCGGCCCAGGAGCCACUUCAUACCAGCCAGAGUCUGCGUGGGUACGUACUGGGGAGAGCAAGGGAGAUUCCAGCCAGGGGCCCUUCUGACUUUAUCCAGUGGUCUGCCCAAUUCCAGUGGCAGCUGGCAGGUGACCUGUGUGGCCAAAGACUGAUGGCUCCCUGGGCCAUUACAGAUUCUACAAAAGAAGAGCAGCAUAUCACCCAGUCUCUUCCUAUCAACAACAGACUUCUCAGCACCGGCUCUAAGCAGCAUCUACUCCCAGGAGAGGAAUGCAGGGCAAGAGCAAACAUGGUGAGGUGGCUGCACUUCUCCACCCUUCACUCGCUUCAUUUUUCCAGGGCUCUUCUUGCUCAAAUAUCAAGCAAAGCCCUAGGGGCUGUACCAAGAGGGUAACCUGUAG
ensembl:lncRNA